rnacentral:misc_RNA from 1 species
UGCUAGAGAGUUUGCCAAAUUCGACAAACUGGGAACAAUCUCUACUCGAUUUGAAGACUUUGUUCACAUCUUUCUCUCCAAGUGAAUUGAGGAAUGUGACUCAGGAAUUGUCUUUUCAUGUCAUCUUUGAGUUAUUGAGCACGGACAAUAAAGAUGUGCUUGAACUUUGCUGCAAUGUGCUUGAAAAAUUACUUGAUGCAUCUGGACCAUCAACUGUUUUUCAAAAGUACAGAGAGGAAAUAUUAAAAGGUCUCAACCAUCCUCAUGUAAUGGUGAAAUGCCUUUGUUUGCGGCAGGUAAGUAGUUAUAACAACUUCUUAUGCAGAUGUGAAGUGCGCAGUAUGCCCCCGUUUUAUUCUUGCAAAUUACUUUUAUGAAAAUAAAUUUUAUUUUAAUAAUGUCUUUAAAGUAUUUUUAGCUUCAUGUAUUCUUGGUGUCAUGAGUCAUGUACAAUGUACCGUAUAGUGAUUAUGAUAACAUUUUACAAAUUGCUUUUUUAAAAUAUUUACUGUAGAAAAAGUUUAUUUUAUUCAGAGAGAGAGAGAGAGAGAGAGUGUGUGUGUGUGUUCAAAUGUAAUCAAUGAGACAUGGCAGCAUUAUGGAUUUAUUAUGCUUUAGAUGUUAAGUGCAUCAGAAGAGGUUAUUGAUGAACUAUUGCCACACAGGGAGGUGCUCCAGAAAACAGCCAGCUUGCUCUCAGAUGAAAUUCAGGUGGCAAAUCUGGCCAGCAAAAUUCUCAUCAAUCUAGGUAGGACUCACCAAGGAUUGGCUGUUCUGUUCAGCAAUCAGAUGAUUCAUUGUUUGGAACAGGUCAGCAACAUCAGCGACACAGUCAGGUUCAGAGUGUAUGAGAUGUUGAUCCAAAUCUGUAAGCUUUCAUUAGCGGCCCUGGAGAACACACACAACAGUGGACUCCUCCAGCAGCUGUUGAAUGAGGUCCAUAAAGAUGAUGUCCUAAUUCAGCUGAAUGCCAUAGAGAUGUUGUCAGACCUGACAAUGGUGGACCAUGGAUUGGUGUAUCUGGAUCAGCAAGGCAUUGUUGGAAAAUUAGAGAGCAUGAUGGGUGAUCUAGACUCAAAUCCUCUUGGCAACCUACUCCUACCAGGGUUGACAAAGUUUUUUGGAGGAGUUGCUCGUUUUCAUCCAAAGGAGGUUUGCAGCAGUAACAAGACAUUUGUGAACUCUGUGUUCGAGGGUUUAUCCUCCAGGGAUCUGACACAGAAAAGCAUUUCUGUCCAAACUGUUGGUUUUAUUGGUGAAUCAGUGGAGGGGAAAAUGGCUCUUGACAAAUUAGGUAACACAAUGAUUCAUGGUGUGAAGUUGAUAGGAACCAUGGUGCGGGAAGCUCCAUCAGAACUACGCAUUAAGGCCUUGGACACUGUCUGCAGCAUCACCAAACUACAGAUUGCAGAACAAACAGAUGAAUUACAAAAGCUGACAGAGAAGUGGUUUAAUUUACUAAGCAAUAACUCGUUUGAGACACUGAUGUCAUUGGUGAGACAGCCAUUCACAGACCUGCGAUGUUCCGCACACUGCGUGUUACAAUCCCUGGCAUUACAACCAUGGGGACAGACUCUUAUGAACAAUUACCCUGGGUUUACGGAAUUCCUGUUGGACAGAAGCACAGAGAAAACCAAGGAAACGAAAGAAUCCAAGUUUACCGUUAUAAGAACCAUUGCAGAGUCGCCCACUGCGGUGGAUGUGUUCGGACAGCCUUAUAUUGUUCAGGUGAAGGCAAUGGCCCUUCAAGGCCCCUUCUUUGUUCAGACACAGUCAGAGGUGGCAUUUGAGGGGGAAUGAUGGAUUAACUGGGUACUGUUAAAUAAUAUGUUUUGAUUAAAAUGUCAGUAAUAUUUCUGUAACUUAAUAAAUUUAUAUUUAAAGG